rnacentral:other from 1 species
CAAGCCCUGCAGUGUACGUGGUUGUCGAGGAUGUUUUGAGCCGACACUCAAAAUUCAUGGAGUCUUUCUUGGAUUGUUCAAGUGGCAGCUCAUCCGGUUGGGCUUAGACCCGGCUGGAAGAGAAUCGCGCGAGCAGACAGGGGACUCCGCCCUGGUUCGCUAGGGUUCAAAAACUCGGUAGGCACACGGCACAGGCGGGGCUUUU